UACGUAGGGCGCAAGCGUUGUCCGGAAUUAUUGGGCGUAAAGAGCUCGUAGGCGGCUUGUCACGUCGGGUGUGAAAGCCCGGGGCUUAACCCCGGGUCUGCAUUCGAUACGGGCUGGCUAGAGUGUGGUAGGGGAGAUCGGAAUUCCUGGUGUAGCGGUGAAAUGCGCAGAUAGCAGGAGGAACACCGGUGGCGAAGGCGGAUCUCUGGGCCAUUACUGACGCUGAGGAGCGAAAGCGUGGGGAGCGAACAGG
rnacentral:rRNA from 1 species